rnacentral:ncRNA from 1 species
GGGUGUCUGCUGCCGAUCUUGUCGCAGCAGACAGGUUCUUGCGCUGGUCGGGCCGCCAGCG